GCACAAUUGGUCAUCGCG
rnacentral:snRNA from 1 species